GAUGAACGCUAGCGAUAGGCUUAACACAUGCAAGUCGAGGGGCAGCACAAGGUAGCUUGCUAUCUGGGUGGCGACCGGCGCACGGGUGCGUAACGCGUAUGCAACUUGCCCUAUACAGGAGGAUAACCCGUCGAAAGACGGACUAAUACUGCGUAUGCUCACAACUUGGCAUCAAGUGGUGAGGAAAGAAAUUCGGUAUAGGAUAGGCAUGCGUCCCAUUAGCUUGUUGGUGAGGUAACGGCUCACCAAGGCAACGAUGGGUAGGGGAACUGAGAGGUUUAUCCCCCACACUGGUACUGAGACACGGACCAGACUCCUACGGGAGGCAGCAGUGAGGAAUAUUGGUCAAUGGGCGCGAGCCUGAACCAGCCAAGUCGCGUGAAGGAUGACUGUCUUAUGGAUUGUAAACUUCUUUUAUACGGGAAUAACAAGAGUCACGUGUGACUCCCUGCAUGUGCCGUAUGAAUAAGCAUCGGCUAACUCCGUG
rnacentral:rRNA from 1 species